UUAUAUUCUGUCAACAUUUUUGUUAAAUAUGAGGGCAAAUUGAUCAUUUUGUACGUUAAAAAUAAAUAAAUACUAAAAUGAAAUAAAAAGCUCACUCUAUCAUCCAUACAUACAGGGAAAAGUCUAGCUGAGUGGAGGUAUUUGCAUCCCUGAAUCUGCUCCUCCUUGGAUUAGUUCAAGGCUUGUUGAUGAUUUGCUAGGAAUUGCUCACAAUGUGUUGGUUUCUUUGAACCUUCCUGAGUAGUUGAUUUCUGGGGCUUGGCCCCA
rnacentral:lncRNA from 1 species